ACUUCCUGCAGAAAUCCUCCAGCCCUGUUAGAAAUGCCUCAGCCAGGGGGACUCAUCUCCUCAAACCUGGGGGACCGAGACCUAUGAGAGGUCACAGCAUGAGCCAGGACAUCGGAGGUACCCAGACAUUGUUAUGAAACUCCGCAUGUGCCCCUGGUGGACGCUGCUGGACCCAGCAUGCACACUUCUCGGCUAAGAGUCACCCUGGAUGAACCACCAUUGCCAGCGGGGAGCAUGUUGCAGCUUUCCCACGCAGUGGAUGAGAACGAAGGUUACGACCAUUGUGUGGGAGGCGUCUGUGUAGCAAUUGCUGGAAUCACUUGUGGCAUUGUAGAAAGACUGAGCGUGGGAAAGAAGACGCAUUCUGAAGUCACCCCGAUUUAUGUUAAAUUAUCACCUUGACUACUGCUAUAGAACGAAUGUUUAUGUCCCCCACCCAAAUUCGUAUGCUAAGACCUAAUAGCCAAUAAGAUAGUAUUAAUAGAUGGGGCCUUUGG
rnacentral:lncRNA from 1 species